ACCUGCAUGAAAUUUCCGGAUCCGCGGUUAAAGUCUCGAUUAAACGUAAUAGAAUCAAACAAUCACCAACAUUACAUUACAAUAACUCUUAUAAAUUAUUUCGACACUUAUUAUUGCAAAUGGAAGGUGAGAACAAAUAAUAAACCUAACAAUCAUCACUUUAAUUCUUUCUCUAAAUCUAAUAAGUAAAUAAAAAGUUAGAAAAUAAUGUAGUGAAUAAUAAAAAAAACAGGCUACAUUUUUCCCACUUGCAUCCACUUAACAACAACGAAAUUGAAGAAUGAAAGGAAAUAAUUGAUUUUCUAUUAUUUUCCAAACACACAUUUUUUAUGCAGUUUCUGUAAUUUCUUUUCAUCAAGAGAACGCAUCCUAAUGAACACAUAAUCAUAAUCCCAUAUAUUCAUACAUUUAAUCUAAACUCAAAGCAAACAAACAACAAAAUUAAAACGAAUAGUGAAAAUGGGUCAUCGUACGGAUACCAACCUUGGAAACGGCGGCAGCGGACGAAUAAUGUUUUAAAAUCGGAACACAAAUGUGUGGCGACGGUAUUUCUGGUGAUGGCCGGAGACGGAACAGUUGAAGGCGAGGUUUUGCUGGCGGAUGUAGAACUUGAAGGAUGACGGAGAUGUUUAACGGUGUGUCAUGCGGUGGUAUUUUGUUGUGGUUCGGAGGAUUCACGGUGAUGAUGAAGAUGGUGGUGGAUAUUGGAAGAUUGACGGAGGUUCCGGCGGAAGGGCGAUGUUGGUGGCUGGAGGCAAAAAGAGAAAAGUCGUGCGUUUUUUGGGGAAGAAGAGGAACAAUAUUGUUCCUCUCUUUUCUUUCUUAUUUCCUUUUUUUUAAUUAUUUUAUCCUUUUCUUUUGGUGAGAGAGCAUAAGUUAAUUUGUGAGUGGCCAAUGGAAAUG
rnacentral:lncRNA from 1 species